rnacentral:rRNA from 1 species
CUACGGGGGGCAGCAGUGAGGAAUAUUGCACAAUGGGGGGAACCCUGAUGCAGCAACGCCGCGUGGAGGAUGACACAUUUCGGUGUGUAAACUCCUUUUAUAUGUCAAGAAAAUGACGGUAGCAUAUGAAUAAGCACCGGCUAACUCCGUGCCAGCAGCCGCGGUAAUACGGAGGGUGCAAGCGUUAAUCGGAAUCACUGGGCGUAAAGGACGCGUAGGCGGGUUGGAAAGUCAGGUGUGAAAUCCUACAGCUUAACUGUAGAACUGCACUUGAAACUUCUAAUCUAGAGUAUGGGAGGGGGAGAUGGAAUUAGUGGUGUAGGGGUAAAAUCCGUAGAUAUCACUAGGAAUACCUAAAGCGAAGGCGAUCUCCUGGAACAUUACUGACGCUAAGGCGUGGAAGCGUGGGGAGCAAACAGGAUUAGAUACCCUCGUAGUC